UUAGGUACAAUUCUUCAUGCCUACCACUUAUGUUGAUCUGGCCACAAAGUGUGUGUCCUUGAAGAGAACUUAUCAAAUGGUACUAAUUGAGUAUCACAAGAAGGUAAGUUCACAGCUAUGGAAGGAGAAUUUGGUCUGAACAUGUAUUUUAGCAGUGUUACUGCUUAACUUUACAGAAAUGUAGCAUGAGCAGCUGAGGGUGUGGUUCCACUGCCAGUGUCCAGGUGCUGCAGUCACCACUGGGACUCACCUGCAGCUGGUGAGCACAGUCCUCAGGAGCAUGCAAACAGCUGUUUCAAAUCUGCACAGCUGUAUUAACUAGGUUUUGCCUCAUGGGGACUGAAGUUAUAUUUCAGAUACCAUUUUUAUGGGAAUUUCUGUUAUUUCAGAAUAAUAAAAAAUAUUAAAAUAUCUACUGUAGUAUUUGCUUUGUUUCAUGAAAAGUUGUAUGCAAGAAUUUAUAAUUAGGAAGUGGUCUGCUACCAGUAUGGUCAAAUAAUGUAUUGAGCUAAAGGGUAGCUUGUAGACUUCUUUGUUUUUCCUUUUCUUCAUGUUUUUUUUCCCCUAUUAAAUUUUCUUUCUUUUUUUCCAUUUUGUGCUCCUUUUAACUUGAGCAUUUUUCAGAAUCAAAUAACUGCAUACAGCUGGUGACUGUUACUGAAGGUGCUUGGGAAGUUUCUGUAUGUUCUAGAAUGUACAUGUGUAGCCAUGCUCUUGGCUGACUAAAAUUAGGAGUGUUAUGGCUUGCACUAGCAAUGUUUUGAACAAAGUGGGCACUGAGAUGUUUAUUUAGUGUGAUAGCUGGUGAGCUGGGCAUCCAGGUGGACAUUCAGUUUGGGUUUUAGCUCAUGUGUUCUGGAAAGCUUCUGCUGUUCUGGUGUAGUUACACAGGUGGACUUCUCUGUGGAGGUGCAGCAGUGUCUUGGGAAAAGAUUUUCUGACAACAGAUGUGAGAGUAUAGACUGGUGCUAAACAUAACUAGCUAAGCUGACAACAGCACUCCUCUGCUGCAUUCAGACCGUGAGGAUUUGCAGAUAAAGUUGCAUAAGCUGGGGAGUGCUUUUUCAUGCUGAUCCUUACACUGCUGUGUCAGCAACAUGCUGCAACUGUAAGGUGUGGCUUAAACUCACUCUACAAGCUGACAAGGUCAUGUGUCUCUACAUGCAUUUUUUCUGUUUGCUUUAGUCAAUAAGGAAAAAAAUAAAGUGAAUUCUAAUGAGACACUUCCAUGUUGAAACUUUAUUGUAUGCACAUUUUCAGUGCUCUAACAAGCUAGUGGAAGUUCUCUAAAGAGAUGGUUGCUGUUAGCUCUUUUGUCUGGCCCAUGGGCUUGCCUUUCUACCAAGUCAUUGUCUCCAUGUACUUAAAUGUGAGUAUCAGGGAAGAAAGUGUUCUUGGAAGUAAAAUUGAGCAAAUGGAGUGAAGUUACCAAACAAAAUCAGAAUUCAGGUAGAAUCAGAGAGAGGAAGACAACAGUUAUUCUUGGGUAGUAAACAAUCCCAGAGUGUACAGUACUUGGUACUUGGACAAAAGGAUAUGAAGCAAGAUAAGAUAAAAGGCAUAAGCAAUCUUGUAGAACCAAGGAAGAAAGAAAGUAGGGAUGUUAAAGAAGAAGGAUAAGCAAUAGCUACAUUCCAAGAGGUUAGACAUGGUCCAGCAAAUCACUAGUCACAAGACUUCUGUCAGGGCGGUGCGAUUUUUCUCCAGGAAAAGAGAAGGAAUCAGCAUGAGAAAGUAAUGGCCAGAAAGAGUUAUCAUUGAAGAGAAGCCAUUACUGAAGCAUUUUGUAACUUUUUCUCUGUAAAUGGCCUUUCCUAUUACACAUGAAUUGAAAAAGAUUUUGGAAAUAAUAGCAAAUUUGCAAAAAUACAUUUACAUUACUAAUGCAAAUGUAUGGAAUCAUGCACACUCACACUCUAUUCAAUAUUAGUGAAAGAACGCUGUGAAACAGAGAAAGAAAGAAAGAAACAAACAAACAAAUAAGUAAGUGCUGGUUUGGGGUAAAUGUCUUUGUCUUGUUUCUCCAUCUAGAAGAGUGAUUGAUGUGGGUAGUUUUCAAAAGUUGUCAUUCACUAAACUAUUAGUGGCAAUGCUCUUGUUGACGUUUCAUGCAUUUUAGGUGAUGGUUUUUUGCUUUAUUUUCGUCUAUGUCCAAACAUCAACUGGCACAGCCUGCUGGAUGUCGCCUGGUGCUGCACUCUGUGUCCAAGGACUGCUGCUCACCAGCAGAAAUGCUCUUUCCUCAAGUCUCAUGCAAUGUGCAGUUACAGCUUAAAUGAGAAAGAGGAACACUUUUUAAGUGGAAGUGCUGGGUGGAAGACAGAGAAGUUUGGAAAAACAACAGAUCUUAUUACUUUUGAGAAGUGGGUAGGAACUGGAGACAGUUUUCAGAAAUGAACUGGAUUUUAAAGCACAAUGGAAGAACCCAACUGUCUGAGAGAGCUGCCCAUGGGUGUUGUAAAGGUCAGCCAAAUUCCAAGCAACCGUUUCCCCCACAAUGAGCAGUAGUAAAUGAGAUUGCAUCUUAGGGACUGCAAUGCCUAUGUUAUUUUGUGUAUUUGUGCUAUGCACUGCCCUCAAAUAAUGAAGAACAUUUACUCCUGAGCUAUUCCAUACUACAAAAAUCUCAUGCAGGAUUUGAUCAUUCACUAAUAGCUUGCUCUAAACAAGAUGAUUAGUUUAUAGGCUGAUUUUCUGCUUCUGCUAUCAAUUUUCAAAUAUUGGUAUCUCCAAG